AUUGAACGCUGGCGGCAGGCCUAACACAUGCAAGUCGAACGAGUGGCGGACGGGUGAGUAAUGUCUGGGAAACUGCCUGAUGGAGGGGGAUAACUACUGGAAACGGUAGCUAAUACCGCAUACCAUCGGAUGUGCCCAGAUGGGAUUAGCUUGUUGGUGGGGUAACGGCUCACCUAGGCGACGAUCUCUAGCUGGUCUGAGAGGAUGACCAGCCACAAUGGAACUGAGACACGGUCCAGACGCCUACGGGAGGCAGCAGUGGGGAAGAUUGCACAAUGGGCGCAAGCCGGAUGCAGCCAUGCCGCGUGUAUGAAGAAGGCCUUCGGGUUGUAAAGUACUUUCAGCGGGGAGGCGUUACCCGCAGAAGAAGCACCGGCUAACUCCGUGCCAGCAGCCGCGGUAAUUC
rnacentral:rRNA from 1 species